CUGAAUUUAAAACCGUACUGCACGUGGACUGCGUGCACAACGAGAGCAGCUGCAGGUUAAUCGAUGCGACCGGCGACGUCUUCUCCGGACGGUCGGCGCCUUGAGGGAUUUCGUACGAUUAGGAUUGUGCCGUCAUCAGCGCUGGACGUCGCAGUUUUCCUUGAGACGGAGAAGAUUCCAGGGCAUCAGGAAUAUGAAGAGGAUGUCAUGUCAUUACUCUCUCUGUGCAUCGGUGGCCUAUUCGAGAUGACUAAUGGCCCGAGAGUCCCGGAUGACAUUAAUCCUCGUGGGCCAUCAUCUUCGCGGAUCACUUCCCUAAUUCAUCAGAUGAAAUAUUGACCAGUGCUCUGUCAUCUUCAUAUUAUCAGCAUCAGCAAGAGGUUAUUUGUCACGCUCCUGCUCUGUGCUCCCGGAGCCUCCGGAGCUCCGCAGGCGCACCGACGACGACGACUGGCCGACGUCCGCUGGGGGGCAAACAACACGAUCGAGUUCACAACAAAAACACACGUCAAAAAUCGUACA